UGGGGAAUCUUCCGCAAUGGACGAAAGUCUGACGGAGCAACGCCGCGUGAGUGAAGACGGCCUUCGGGUUGUAAAGCUCUGUGAUCCGGGACGAAAGAGCCUAAGGUAAAUAGCCUAAGGAAGUGACGGUACCGGAAAAGCAAGCCACGGCUAACUACGUGCCAGCAGCCGCGGUAAUACGUAGGUGGCAAGCGUUGUCCGGAAUUAUUGGGCGUAAAGCGCGCGCAGGCGGCUUCCUAAGUCCAUCUUAAAAGUGCGGGGCUUAACCCCGUGAUGGGAUGGAAACUGGGAAGCUGGAGUAUCGGAGAGGAAAGUGGAAUUCCUAGUGUAGCGGUGAAAUGCGUAGAGAUUAGGAAGAACACCGGUGGCGAAGGCGACUUUCUGGACGAAAACUGACGCUGAGGCGCGAAAGCGUGGGGAGCAAACAGG
rnacentral:rRNA from 1 species